GUCCACGCAGUAAACGAUGAGAACUGGCUGUGAUGUGUAGGGAGCAAUCUCUGCAUGACGUAGCGAAGCUAACGCGUUAAGUUCUCCGCCUGGGGAGUACGGCCGCAAGGUUAAAACUCAAAGGAAUUGACGGGGGCCCGCACAAGCGGUGGAGCAUGUGGUUUAAUUCGAUGCAACCCGAAGAACCUUACCUACCCUUGACAUCCUUGGAAGAAGGCAGAGAUGCUUUUGUGCCGAAAGGAACCAAGAGACAGGUGCUGCAUGGCU
rnacentral:rRNA from 1 species